GCACAGUUGGAAAUCGGGAAAUAACUACGACUCGGGUGUUAGAAGGGCAUAAAUUAAUUUUUGAGAAUAUGACUAUGUUGGUUGUGUAAUCUUUAAUGCUAAGACCUCGGGGAAGGCCGAGGAUAAAUUUGGAAUUUCGGAAAUUAGUUUCGGGAAUUACAAAACGGGAUUUUUAAGCAUUGGGCCAAGAAACUACAAAUGCAAUUGAAGCCCAACAAUGGAAGAGGGGGGAUCCGGCCAUGUUAUAGGCCCAAACCCAUUUUAAAAGGGUCAUGUGCUAUGCACAUGACCCCUAAAUAGAUAUAUAUGAAUUAUACUUAGUAUUAUCCAAGAAACAACUCACAAAAUCAAGAACACCCAAAAAAAAAGGGUUUCGGCCGAGAGCUAGAGAGAAAGAAAAGGAAAAAUCCCAAGCUUGUGUGGUGGUUCAAUAAUCUUGUUCUUUACAUAUUUGUGAAGUACUCAAGGCCCUCUUCAACGGGGUAUAAUUAGUUUGGCACGAGGACGACGUUUUCGACAAGUCGGGGUUUCAAGAAAGAUUUUUGACGAAACGGGACGAGACAUUUGGAAGAGCUUACGACGUCUGUGAGGUGCAGAUUCCGGUGAUCUUCCGCAGUAGGCUUCACCUUUUGCUUUCUCGGAGUACUCUUACUUGAUCCGGAGUCCACUCUUGGUACAGACUCCUCCACUUUGUAUAUACUUUGUAUAUUUGACGGUUUGGGUACGGCGGGGCCCUGUCUCGCCAUAUGUUAUGUUUUGAAUUCGUAGAGGCCUGUAGUCAUCUUUGUGGGGCGAGGGUCCUAUGUGUAUAUUGUAUGAUUUUGCUUUCGGGUCUUAAAGCGGUCUGUUUGAUCUGAUGGCCCCAAAUGGCCCUUAUGUAUAUAUUUGUAUUUUUACCGGCGAUGCCUAUUCCGCCGCUUUGUGUGAAUUUGAUUUGAU